rnacentral:rRNA from 1 species
UGAAAGGGAAACGAUUGAAGUCAGUCGUACCGACGAGAAAUCAACUUAUCGUGUGCGAACUUGUGGGCGUGCGUGAGUUUCGGCCUCGCUGUUUGCAUGUUUGUGCGUUUUGGGUGUACUUUUUCGUAUGGUAGGCCAACGUCAGUUUCGAUUAUCAUAAAAUGACCGGCGGAAUGUAGCUUCGAUUUCGGUUGAAGUGUUAUAGCCUNUGGUAGAUGUGGUGAUUGAGACUGAGGAUUGCAACGAAUACCCUUUGGGCUAUCCGUCUGGCCUCUGAAAGUUGCUCAGGUGCCGAAAGCGU